rnacentral:lncRNA from 1 species
UUUAGUGGAAAUUCCAACUGCCCUCCACUCUGCCUUUAGCAUCUCGUCCCAAGGGCAUCAGUACAGACGAGCAUCCCUGUUAGUUAUUCCCCAGGGUCGCUACAAGGUGGCGUGACUGCCGGUCCCUCUGCUGUGCUGAGCAGGCCAGCACAGAAACACUGAACAAGCCAUGAGCCUGAAAAGUGAUGGAGAUUGGAGUUAAGAAGAGACACGUCCCCUUCACAUGGUCCCUGAGCUGACAUGGACCAGGGAUCCAGAACUAGACAUGCCCUUCCUGCCUGUUGGGACGGGCACCCCAGUCCUCCUCAGAGGAACACACACACACACACACACACACACACACACACACACACUCGACCACCUGCAGUCAGUCCCCUGCUAGGAGGCCUUUCUCCUUUGACACCUGCCCUGGCCAAAGAGCACCCGGAACACAGUGGCAAGGGUUCAGGGCACUGCAGAGGCCCCCCUGGGAGGUGGAGGGGACAGUGGCCUGGGUGCCCUCCUGAUCCUCCACUCAGUGCUGAUCGAGGGCUUCCUGAGUGUCCUCACCCCUCCCAGUCACCCCCUGUGUGUUGAUGAACUCAUCACUGUGAGCCCUGAGAAGCAGAGGUGAUUGGUCCUCAGUCCUUGCCCUUAGGGUCCCAGACUAUAAGGAGAGAAGAAAGGGAAGCUUCACAGUAUGUGUAAGUGCUGCCCUCCAUCCCCCCGCCCCCAGGCCAGGAAACAACACAGGAGCACCGCAACAGGCCGCCAGUCUACUGCGGAGGUCCCAGGAGCCACGCCCCAGAAGUGAGGACCACUGCCGGGAUCGAGGAGUUUGUGGGUGACUGGGCCCUGGGGGGAUAAGGUCUCAUGGCUUGUUUCCAGGGUCUGUCUGCUCAAAGGGGAAUCCAUCUCACCCCUGGGGUCCCACUGUGGCCUUCGCAUGGCCAGCCCCAGGUGAUGGUUUUCAGACGACUGUGUCUUUAACUGGGUCCAGCACCAGGUCCAGGGAACCAUCAAAUUCCACAAAAACAAACCGCAAUCAGGGGCCAGAGGACAGCAGCCUGCACCCAUGCCCCCACAGGCCAGUACCCUCGGGUCUGAGCCAGAGGAGGCCAGGGCCUCGGCCUCCUGCAGCCACGCCUGCCUGUCACCAUGGCUGCAGGUGGGUCUCCAGCUCCUUAAUCAUGCCGGCAGAAACAAAUGUGUUGCUCUGAUCUGCAGACGGUUCCCACUUUACUGACGCACAGUGAGCAUGGAUUAGUCCCAUGAACUACAAAAGGGGCCUCUCCUCUCCUGGCAGGUGUUCAGCCUCUGACUGCAGUCAGGCUCACAGCGGGGUCCUCCGCCGCCGCCAGCACCGCGGAGCCAACAGGAGGGAUGCUGGAAUCCGUGGCGGACCCAGGAUGCUCCCAAAUACGGACCCCGCCCGCAGGUGCCUCUGAAACCAGAGCUCCUCUCCUCAACACCCCAACCAGAGGUAGCAGAGCUGGAGGGUUAGCGCUCCAAGGUACGCUGUAAGAAAAGCCAGGGGUGCAACAGCGUGGAUCCUCCAAGGCCAUUUAUAUAACCCAAGGGUGUGUGUGUGUGUGUGUGUGUGUCCAAACGGGGAGUACAGGAAGGCAGUCACUGACCCGUUGGUGUCUUGGGUGUUAUGAGUUGGUGUGGCCAGGGCGCAAUUUGCUCUGUGGUCCUGACUUUUGUGGUUGAAGACUUCUGGCCUGCAGAGACCCAAGUGGCUGACUGGGUCAGUCUGGGAGAAUCCCAUGGCUGCUCUAGCCUCUGACCAAAAGGAACAGGCACAUCUUAGAAACCAGCAGGACUAUCUGCCUCCGUGUAACUGUGAGAGACCUCUUCCUCCCUCACGACUCACGUGAUAGACAGCAGGAAGGAACCAGGAACAUGGUCCUGCUGCCAUUCCUCUUAGUGGUAGAUCAGGGAUGGACGGUGUAGAGAGCAGGCUGCACCUGCCCUGGGUGACUCCAUGGUGUGUAGGACAGCAGUCCUCAGGCUGUGCCUGCCCUGGGUGACUCCAUGGUGUGUAGAACAGCAGUCCUCAGGCUGUGCCUGCCCUGGUGACUCCAUGGUGUGCAGGACAGCAGUCCUCAGGCUGUGCCUGCCCUGGUGACUCCAUGGUGUGUAGAACAGCAGUCCUCAGGCUGUGCCUGCCCUGGCGACUCCAUGGUGUGUAGAACAGCAGUCCUCAGGCUGUGCCUGCCCUGGCGACUCCAUGGUGUGUAGAACAGCAGUCCUCAGGCUGUGCCUGCCCUGGUGACUCCAUGGUGUGUAGAACAGCAGUCCUCAGGCUGUGCCUGCCCUGACAGCAGUCCUCAGGCUGUGCCUGCCCUAGUGACUCCAUGGUGUGCAGGACAGCAGUCCUCAGGCUGUGCCUUCUGUGGUGACUCCAUGGUGUGUAGGACAGCAGUCCUCAGGCUGUGCCUGCCCUGGUGACUCCAUGGUGUGUAGAACAGCAGUCCUCAGGCUGCGCCUGCCCUGGUGACUCCAUGGUGUGCAGAACAGCAGUCCUCAGGCUGCACCUGCCCUGGUGACUCCAUGGUGUGUAGGACAGCAGUCCUCAGGCUGUGCCUGCCCUGGUGACUCCAUGGUGUGUAGAACAGCAGUCCUCAGGCUGUGCCUGCCCUAGUGACUCCAUGGUGUGUAGGACAGCAGUCCUCAGGCUGUGCCUGCCCUGGUGACUCCAUGGUGUGCAGGACAGCAGUCCUCAGGCUGUGCCUGCCCUGGUGACUCCAUGGUGUGUAGGACAGCAAUCCUCAGGCUGUGCCUGCCCUGGUGACUCCAUGGUGUGUAGAACAGAGUUUUCAGGCUACAGAUAUUAGUAAUUAUGUUUGAAAUAAAAAAAUCUGUGAUUGCCCAGCUUAUGCCUACCAGGUGAGGAGUGUUUGGUGAGCUGCAGCUGCUGAAAGUGGUGUACCUGAGAAGGGAUUGCUAUCCCGUGCCCUUCUGACAUUGUGGAGAGACACACAUGCUUGGCCCUUGCUAAUGGCACGGCUCAUUCAUGAAGGGUUUGGGGGACUUCUGCACAGAGAAGGAAGGGAGAAGGAGGCAGGAAUGGGGGUCAUGUCAGAAGGUAGGCGAGCAGCCAUGGGUCCCAGCAAGCCUCAGGCCAAGUCCACAGUCCUCCUGGGACCCCUCCCUGCCCACACUCCAGAAGAGGCUUCAAGACCCCACUCUUGUCAGCACACCUCCUGAGCCAGCUGGAGUGAGCACAGGGCCCAUGCCCAGGGCCGACUGCGUGUACUGCGUCUUCAGCGACUGCUAGUGCUUCUAGCUGCACACUUGCCAUCUGAUUAGAGGCAAAGUUGAUCUAUUUUAACUUCACACUCCAAGUUAUUCGUGGAGUUUAGUCACAGCCCUAUAUAAUAGAAAACCACCACUGCCUACAGUCAUUUGAAGCCACAAAAACCCUCUCUUUGCACUUUCUAUCUGCACUGUGGCCUGCAGGCUCCUGCAGCCGUGGUCUCCUGCCCUGCAGGUCCCUCUGGUCUGGGAGGCCUGGUGCACUGGCUGUCUGUGCCGUCCCUGGAUGCCAGCCCCCUCCUCCUGUGCCCACGGGACCAGCCCUGCACACCAGGCCCUCUCCCAAGAGCCCCACCGGCUCCUGAACCAAUAAAAGAUCACAUUUUAAUUGAAAGUCACUGUGGCGGCCGUAGGCAGAGGUCUGUUUGUCCUGCGCCUGUGCUGGGGGUUAGCUUCGGCUUGUAGAAGUGCCCACCUCAACUCAGCUGGAAACAGAGUCACACGUGCACACUGCCAAAUUUUCACUUAAACAUCGGUUUUUUAAAAACCAACACUUCACUUGGUUCAAACUGUAAACCAAAGGUCACACGUGUCCAGUCUCCCUCCCACACUGACCCCAGCCAACAAUCUCCUCUGAAGCCACACGGAUCUUUCCAGAGAUGCUUUGGCAUAUACAAUAAAUACAUCACAUAAAGGAGACCAAAAAAUUGCCUGCAGCUUCACACUUGGGAUAAGAGCCAUGUGGGUGUGGUGCGAUCAAGGUUCGGCCUUUCCCAGGAUUAACUGAGUUUUCCUCCCGGCCUCCUGAGCCUUGCUGGGCCGGGCCUGUGGUGCCCACCGUGCAGUAUGCCAAUCGUGAAAGAGAAAGGGUACUUCUGAGGUGGCUGGCGGGAGAGUGGCCUCCACCUGCCUCCCUGAAGGGGGUCCAGGGGUGUUUAUGGGUGGAGGCCCGAGGAAGGGGAACUGGAGGCCAUGAGGAAUGGUGACCAAACCACCAGCCACCAGGACACGGGGCACAGGUGUCACCUAUGCUCAACUAACCUUGGUGAUGUUUCGGGUCAACCGAAGCCAGGAACUAAGAGUGGAGACGUAGCUAAGGCUGAGAGCAGCGCUCACCGGGCUUUGCAGGCUGCGGAGCACGUGCCCUGUGGAGAGGCACCUCGCCAUGAACUCUCCUGUUUUCACGGAUCACUCUGGAGAGCUGAGUGGCAGGACGGACCCCGGCCCUCCUGGGCAGUGGCCUCCUGAGCACCAGCGUGCGGCCUGCUGUGCGCUGUGCCAUCGGGUCAGCGAGAGGCUCCCAGGGAGAACGUGGGGCCUUCCUGGGAACCACAUGCUUCCUUUCCCCUCCUGUCCUCCCCCAAACUUCCCAGUUCCAAAGCGUGACACUCCACACAACCCCCGCUUAGCCCAGAUGAGGAGAGCCACUCUGAACUCGCCCAGGAGAGCGCUACAGAGAAGCGCUCACCGCAGGCGCUCAGCCAAGAAAGGAUCGUGGACCACAGGACCAGACCCCUGUCGCCCAGCCUGCGGCACCCGUGGGACAGAGCCCUCAGCUGGGUCCACAGCAAGCGCAGUGAGCACUCAAAAGCCCAGGGAGCUCUGUGACCCAGGGAGGACCCAGGCCCCAGUCACCAAGGGACGGGGGCCCCCUUCCUGUGGACCUGGGAGCAGGAAUGUAGGGGUGCAGUUGACGGACCUCACAACCACGCGGCUUCAGAGGGAAUCCCACACAAUCAGAGCGCGAUGGAGAAGGGGGCAGCAAACACGGGCCUG